GUGGGGAAUCUUCCGCAAUGGACGAAAGUCUGACGGAGCAACGCCGCGUGAGUGAUGAAGGUCUUCGGAUUGUAAAGCUCUGUUAAUCGGGACGAAAGAGCCUAGUGUGAAUAAUGCUAGGAAGUGACGGUACCGGAAUAGAAAGCCACGGCUAACUACGUGCCAGCAGCCGCGGUAAUACGUAGGUGGCAAGCGUUGUCCGGAAUUAUUGUGCGUAAAGCGCGCGCAGGCGGAUCUGCCAGUCUGCCUUAAAAGUUCGGGGCUUAACCCCGUGAUGGGAUGGAAACUACAGAUAUAGAGUAUCGGAGAGGAAAGUGGAAUUCGUAGUGUAGCGGUGAAAUGCGUAGAUAUUAGGAAGAACACCAGUGGCGAAGGCGACUUUCUGGACGAAAACUGACGCUGAGGCGCGAAAGCAAGGGGAGCGAACGGGAUUAGAAACCCGUGUAGUCC
rnacentral:rRNA from 1 species